rnacentral:lncRNA from 1 species
AGGUCGAGAACAUAUUGAUGAUAAGAAAUGAAGCUCUAAGCCAUCAUAUCAUUAUCGAAAGAAAGAUCGCCUCGAAAAAUCUUCAAGAAUCUGGGAUGAUUUUCUUUAAUUAUGGGUACAUAAGCUAGUAUCAUGUAAUUAACACUUAUUGUUGGUGCAAAAAUCCGCCAGCAUCGGAGAAGCUGGAGUCGAGGGAGUCGC